GACGAACGCUGGCGGCGUGCCUAAUACAUGCAAGUAGAACGCUGAAGGAGGAGAUUGCUUCUCUGGAUGAGUUGCGAACGGGUGAGUAACGCGUAGGUAACCUGCCUGGUAGCGGGGGAUAACUAUUGGAAACGAUAGCUAAUACCGCAUAAGAGUAGAUGUUGCAUGACAUUUGCUUAAAAGGUGCAAUUGCAUCACUACCAGAUGGACCUGCGUUGUAUUAGCUAGUUGGUGAGGUAACGGCUCACCAAGGCAACGAUACAUAGCCGACCUGAGAGGGUGAUCGGCCACACUGGGACUGAGACACGGCCCAGACUCCUACGGGAGGCAGCAGUAGGGAAUCUUCGGCAAUGGACGGAAGUCUGACCGAGCAACGCCGCGUGAGUGAAGAAGGUUUUCGGAUCGUAAAGCUCUGUUGUAAGAGAAGAACGAGUGUGAGAGUGGAAAGUUCACACUGUGACGGUAUCUUACCAGAAAGGGACGGCUAACUACGUG
rnacentral:rRNA from 1 species